CUUUGGAGAGGGAGGGACCAGGCUGCCUGUGGAGCUGAGGAAGGGAACAAGUCCAGCGUGACACCAGCAACUCUGCUGAAGAUCAUAUCGAAUAUGCCUCCGUGAAUUGGCUGGGAAGCUCCAGGCAUCCACGGCCAAAGAGAGAAGAGACACCAACAUAUGCGACCAUCGCUCUGCAGCAGGACAGAUGUCAUUAAUGCUCCACUUGCUGAAAUGCAGGACUCGUCAGUGCGCAGUCACAUCACAGAACCUCGGCAACUGUAGGGGCCGUGCAGCAAGGAAGUGGGGGACCUUCUCUGGGGCCACAGCAGGACAAUGCACAGCACCCCAAAGUGCUGUAGGACACUGGAAUAUUCUUAGGGCAAAUGCAGCCUGUUUGCCUUUUGGAAAAAAAAGUUUCUUCUGAAUAAAAUGGGGUAAAAUACCCAAACUCUGUAUUCCUACCCUCUGACUCUUUAUAUUGACAGCUCAGCUCCCAAGUCCUCUCAGCUCUGUUCAGAGAUUCCAUUGCCAACCCAAAGUGUACAAAAAUCAUGAGGCAGCUCCCCCAAAUCCAAAGAUUGCUUAAAAAAAAAUCUCAUGAAUUCUUAAAUUCUGCCUGUUGCUUACUUCUAUUUGACUUCUGGUGUUUGACUUUCUGGAGGUCAGGUUUUCAAGGUGUUCUUCACAACCAGAAGGGCUAGAAACUUACUGAUUUCAACAAAACCCAAGAUACUCUCAUAAUCCCAGUACAUCAGCAGUUGGACUUCAAGAAAAACAGGGAAUAUUAUGAGAUGUGCUGUGAAAUAAUGAGAACUGACAACAGAAUCAGGCUCACCUUUGAAUGUGAAGGUCUGUUUAAUGUCAUGCAGGUUUGUAGGGGUGUGAUGAAAUAUAAGCAACAAACAAAAAGUAUUAGUCACAAGCUAUGAGUUUGUGAAACUAUUUCUUAGCCGCCUCCAGAGAGUGCAGCCAUGUGGAGGCAAGAGAACAUCAUGUCAGUAUUUGGCUUUGGUAUAUGGUUUUGAGCUGAUAUUUGGCAGGAAUUCUAGAUUGAUGUCCA